rnacentral:rRNA from 1 species
GUGAGUAACCUGCCCUUGACUUCGGGAUAACUCCGGGAAACCGGGGCUAAUACCGGAUAUGAGCCGUCCUCGCAUGGGGGUGGUUGGAAAGUUUUUCGGUCAGGGAUGGGCUCGCGGCCUAUCAGCUUGUUGGUGGGGUGAUGGCCUACCAAGGCGACGACGGGUAGCCGGCCUGAGAGGGCGACCGGCCACACUGGGACUGAGACACGGCCCAGACUCCUACGGGAGGCAGCAGUGGGGAAUAUUGCACAAUGGGCGAAAGCCUGAUGCAGCGACGCCGCGUGAGGGAUGAAGGCCUUCGGGUUGUAAACCUCUUUCAGCAGGGAAGAAGCGCAAGUGACGGUACCUGCAGAAGAAGCGCCGGCUAACUACGUGCCAGCAGCCGCGGUAAUACGUAGGGCGCAAGCGUUGUCCGGAAUUAUUGGGCGUAAAGAGCUCGUAGGCGGUUUGUCGCGUCUGGUGUGAAAACUCGAGGCUCAACCUCGAGCUUGCAUCGGGUACGGGCAGACUAGAGUGCGG